UACGAAGGGGGCUAGCGUUGUUCGGAAUCACUGGGCGUAAAGCGCAUGCAGGCGGAUUGUUAAGUCGGGGUGAAAUCCCGAGGCUCAACCUCGGAACUGCCUUCGAUACUGGCAAUCUUGAGUCCGGGAGAGGUGAGUGGAACUGCGAGUGUAGAGGUGAAAUUCGUAGAUAUUCGCAAGAACACCAGUGGCGAAGGCGGCUCACUGGCCCGGUACUGACGCUGAGGUGCGAAAGCGUGGGAGCAACAGG
rnacentral:rRNA from 1 species